rnacentral:rRNA from 1 species
UACCAGCACCCCGAGUGGUCGGGACGUUUUAUUGGGCCUAAAGCAUCCGUAGCCGGUUCUACAAGUCUUCCGUUAAAUCCACCUGCUUAACAGAUGGGCUGCGGAAGAUACUAUAGAGCUAGGAGGCGGGAGAGGCAAGCGGUACUCGAUGGGUAGGGGUAAAAAUCCUCUGAUCCACUGAAGACCACCAGUGGCGAAGGCGGCUUGCCAGAACGCGCUCGACGGUGAGGGGAUGAAAAGCUGGGGGGAGCAAAACCGG